UUUUGGACAAUGGGGGCAACCCUGAUCCAGCAAUGCCGCGUGCAGGAAGAAGGCCUUCGGGUUGUAAACUGCUUUUGUCAGGGAAGAAAUCCUGUGGGUUAAUACCUCGUGGGGAUGACGGUACCUGAAGAAUAAGCACCGGCUAACUACGUGCCAGCAGCCGCGGUAAUACGUAGGGUGCGAGCGUUAAUCGGAAUUACUGGGCGUAAAGCGUGCGCAGGCGGUUUUGUAAGACAGAGGUGAAAUCCCCGGGCUCAACCUGGGAACUGCCUUUGUGACUGCAAGGCUGGAGUACGGCAGAGGGGGAUGGAAUUCCGCGUGUAGCAGUGAAAUGCGUAGAUACGCGGAGGAACACCGAUGGCGAAGGCAAUCCCCUGGGCCUGUACUGACGCUCAUGCACGAA
rnacentral:rRNA from 1 species